CAGCAUAUCAAUAAGCGGAGGAAAAGAAACCAACAGGGAUUGCCUUAGUAACGGCGAGUGAAGCGGCAACAGCUCAAAUUUGAAAUCUGGCUCCUUCGGGGUCCGAGUUGUAAUUUGCAGAGGAUGCUUCGAGUUAUGGUUCCUUCCGAGUUCCCUGGAACGGGACGCCAUAGAGGGUGAGAGCCCCGUCUGGUAGGAAACCAUGCUCAUGUGAAGCUCCCUCGACGAGUCGAGUAGUUUGGGAAUGCUGCUCUAAGGGGAGGUAUACUCCUUCCAAGGCUAAAUACCGGCUAGAGACCGAUAGCGCACAAGUAGAGUGAUCGAAAGAUGAAAAGUACUUUGAAAAGAGAGUCAAACAGCACGUGAAAUUGUUAAAAGGGAAGCGCUCGCUACCAGACGUGGGUUCGGUGGUUCAACCAGGUCCAUGACCUGGGGCACUCCGCCGGCCCAGGCCAGCAUCAGCUUUCCGUCGGGGGCAAAGGCGUCGGGAAUGUGGCUCUCCUUCGGGGGAGUGUUAUAGCCCGUCGCGUCAUACCCUUCGGGGGGCUGAGGUACGCGCUCCGCAAGGAUGCUGGCGUAAUGGUAGCUAGUGACCCGUCUUGAAACACGGACCAAGGAGUCAACCUUAUGUGCGAGUGCCCGGGCGUAAAACCCCAGCGCGGAAUGAAAGUGAACGUAGGUGAGAGCUUCGGCGCAUCACCGACCGAUCCUGAUGUCCUCGGACGGAUUUGAGUGAGAGCAUAUAGGGUUGGACCCGAAAGAAGAUGAACUAUGCGUGUGUAGGGUGAAGCCAGAGGAAACUCUGGUGGAGGCUCGCAGCGGUUCUGACGUGCAAAUCGAUCGUCAAACAUGCGCAUGGGGGCGAAAGACUAAUCGAAUCUUCUGGUAGCUGGUUUCGUGACUUUCUCCCCGCAAGAAAGAAAAAA
rnacentral:rRNA from 1 species